GACGUAGGGCGCGAGCGUUGUCCGGAUUUAUUGGGCGUAAAGAGCUCGUAGGCGGCUUGUUGCGUCGGCUGUGAAAACUUGGGGCUUAACCCUGAGCUUGCGGUCGAUACGGGCAUGACUGGAGUUCGGCAGGGGAGACUGGAAUUCCCGGUGUAGCGGUGAAAUGCGCAGAUAUCAGGAGGAACACCAAUGGCGAAGGCAGCUCGCUGGGACGUGACUGACGCUGAGACGCGAAAGCGUGGGGAGCAAACAGG
rnacentral:rRNA from 1 species